CAGUAGCCGCGGUAAUACGAAGGGGGCUAGCGUUGCUCGGAAUUACUGGGCGUAAAGGGCGCGUAGGCGGACAGUUAAGUCGGGGGUGAAAGCCCGGGGCUCAACCUCGGAAUUGCCUUCGAUACUGGCUGUCUUGAGUACGGGAGAGGUGUGUGGAACUCCGAGUGUAGAGGUGAAAUUCGUAGAUAUUCGGAAGAACACCAGUGGCGAAGGCGACACACUGGCCCGUUACUGACGCUGAGGCGCGAAAGCGUGGGGAGCAAACAGGAUUAGAUACCCGUGUAGUCCCUGUCUCUUAUAC
rnacentral:rRNA from 1 species